rnacentral:rRNA from 1 species
UACGUAGGGGGCAAGCGUUGUUCGGAAUUACUGGGCGUAAAGCGUGCGUAGGCGGCUCUUCAAGUCAGGCGUGAAAGCCCCGGGCUUAACUCGGGAACUGCGCUUGAUACUGUCGAGCUAGAGUGUGGAAGGGGCGAUUGGAAUUCCGUGUGUAGCGGUGAAAUGCGUAGAUAUACGGAGGAACACCAGGGGCGAAGGCGGAUCGCUGGGCCAACACUGACGCUGAUGCGCGAAAGCUAGGGGAGCAAACGGG